rnacentral:rRNA from 1 species
UCUGACGGAGCAACGCCGCGUGAACGAAGAAGGUCUUCGGAUUGUAAAGUUCUGUGAUUCGGGACGAAAGGGUUUGUGGUGAAUAAUCAUAGACAUUGACGGUACCGAAAAAGCAAGCCACGGCUAACUACGUGCCAGCAGCCGCGGUAAUACGUAGGUGGCAAGCGUUGUCCGGAAUUAUUGGGCGUAAAGCGCGCGCAGGCGGUUUCUUAAGUCCAUCUUAAAAGCGUGGGGCUCAACCCCAUGAGGGGAUGGAAACUGGGAAGCUGGAGUAUCGGAGAGGAAAGUGGAAUUCCUAGUGUAGCGGUGAAAUGCGUAGAGAUUAGGAAGAACACCGGUGGCGAAGGCGACUUUCUAGACGAAAACUGACGCUGAGGCGCGAAAGCGUGGGGAGCAAACAGGAUUAGAUACCCUGGUAGUCCACGCCGUAAACGAUGGAUACUAGGUGUAGGAGGUAUCGACCCCUCCUGUGCCGGAGUUAACGCAAUAAGUAUCCCGCCUGGGGAAGUACGAUCGCCAGAUUAAACUCAAAGGAAUUGACGGGGCCCGCACAAGCGGUGGAGUAUGUGGUUUAAUUCGACGCAACGCGAGAACCU